CCGGCACGGGGUGGUGGCGCAGUUGGCUAGCGCGUAGGUCUCAUAGCUAAAGAAAUUUUGUGAGUGAUCCUGAGGUCGAGAGUUCGAGCCUUUCUCACCCCAAC
rnacentral:tRNA from 1 species